rnacentral:rRNA from 1 species
GACGAACGCUGGCGGCGUGCCUAAUACAUGCAAGUCGAGCGGACUAAUGGGAGCUUGCUCCCGUUAGUUAGCGGCGGACGGGUGAGUAACACGUGGGCAAUCUGCCUCACAAUGAGGGAUAGCCCUCCGAAAGGAGGAUUAAUACCUCAUAACACAAGAGAAACGCAUGUUUCUCUUGCCAAAGAAUUUCGUUGUGAGAUGGGCCCGCGGCGCAUUAGCUUGUUGGUGAGGUAACGGCUCACCAAGGCUGCGAUGCGUAGCCGACCUGAGAGGGUGAUCGGCCACAUUGGAACUGAGACACGGUCCAGACUCCUACGGGAGGCAGCAGUGGGGAAUAUUGCACAAUGGAGGAAACUCUGAUGCAGCAACGCCGCGUGAGUGAUGAAGGUCUUCGGAUUGUAAAGCUCUGUCUUCUGGGACGAUAAUGACGGUACCAGAGGAGGAAGCCACGGCUAACUACGUGCCAGCAGCCGCCGUAA